AGAUACCCUAUUCUAACAAUUUCACCACGAUGCAGCGAAUAAUAUGACACAAAAGCUGAUGUUUUCUCCUUUGCUUUGAUCGUUCAAGAGAUGAUAGAAGGACGAAUGCCAUUUGCUGAAAAGGAAGACAGUGAAGCUUCAGAAGCUUAUGCCAGCAAAGAGCGGCCACUGUUCAAAGCUCCAUCAAAUUGCUUUACCCUCAUGGACUUAAAACGUUGAUAGAAGAAUGCUGGCAAAAUAAACCAGCCAAGCGACCUACUUUCAGAGAGAUCAUUAAACGGCUCGAGUCUAUUCUUCAUCAUAUGAGUCACAAACGACAAUGGGGGAUGAGGCCGUUGACUUGCUUUCAGAAUUUCGAGCACAAGAAGAAACAUAACUGGGAUAUGAGCAGCCAUGACGGCUCAUCAUCCGGUUCAAAUUUGUGAUUCUUUAACCGGUUCAGAAAUGAUUUUUUUUUCUAUUCCCUCCGGUUUAGUUUGGUCUUCCCCCUAAAGAACCGAAUCUUAUUUUGUCAUUUUGUUCUUCACUGAUGAAAGUCCGUGUGGUCAAAAUCUGGCAUUUUAUCUAUUUAUAAAAUUUGUUGUAAGAUAUAUGAUUUUAACCUCAAGAUAUAUUUGCUGUUGUAAUCUAAAAUUUCUGCAAAAUGUAUGAUUCCACCUCAUUAUUAUAUGGGUCCUUAAUUUCGAAAUGAAAUAAA